rnacentral:lncRNA from 1 species
ACAAACGUGCAUUCAAGAUCAUUAAUAUAUAAUACUGUUUGAAGAUUAAUAAAGCCACCAAUCACCAUACACGGUCCAUUAUCCAUGGAAAGCUAUUAAAAAGUAAAAACAAACAAUUUCUCACAGAACAGACUAUGAGUAGGAAUAUGUGACAUAAAUGAAUAAACAAGUUAUGAAAGCAAUACAGACACAAAUUAAGGGUGCAUAAUUGUGGAAAAAAAUGAAACAUAAUGUAUAAGCCAGCGAUAUCCAACCAUAUUAUGAAACAUAUAGAAGUUCAAACUUAAGUGGGAGGUAUCUAUCAUCUAUUCCAUGCUGAUAAUACAUAAAAAAUACAUCAGAAAGAGAAUACAAAAACCAAGCAAGAUAUUUUAUCUAUUUCCCCAACCCAAUAAAUCCACUUGUGCAACACUCUCCCAUCUCCAUUGAGAUGCCUUCACCAAGAUUAUGUUCUCUGCUUCGUCUUUAUCCUAAGUCAUUACUGAAAAGGUAUUUAAGUUAUUCAGUGAUCAUCACACUAUCAGAGAUAAAUAGUACUUUCAUGGAGAAACAGCUAAAAGAAAAGUCACUUCGCUAGUAGUCUCGGAGUACUGUAUACAUUGUUUGUACUGCGAGCAUAAAAAAAUUAGAACAACAUAACAAAAAAUCUAAUGUUACAUCAUGAGUAAACCUGGACACCUCAUGAGCACACAUACACAAGUACUACAUACAAAAUUUGAAGUCUAGGUACAUAGCCUUUAGUAUAUCUCAACCAGAACAAGAAAAAAAUGAUCUAUGAGAAUGUCCUACCAACAGGAUCAGCAUAGUUAGGUCUAUAUCCAUUACUUCUUUCCGAAACUUGCUUCAACAUGUAUGAACAUCAUAUCAUCAGUCUAUAUCCAUUUCAGUAUUCUCAUAACUGAGAAAAGUUGUGAUAUUGUAACUUCUCUUAUUUGCUCAUCUACCCGUAACCAUCAGUAUAUGUUUCUUGCAAACCCCUAAGAAAGGAACAAAAGUGAAGUGAUACAGGCAUGCCAAUACCAGUAAAGUGUUGGGGAACGUUGCAGAAAAUUAAAAUUUUUCCUACGGUUUCACCAAGAUCCAUCUAUGAGUUCAUCUAAGCAACGAGUCUAGGGAGAGAGUUUGCAUCUACAUACCACUUGUAGAUCGCGUGCGGAAGCUUGCAAGGUGAUGAUGUAGUCGUACUCGAUGUGAUUCAAAUCACCGAUGACCUUAGCACCGAACGGACGGCACCUCCGCGUUCAACACACGUACGGAACAGCCACGUCUCCUCCUUCUUGAUCCAGCAAGGGAGGGAGGAGAGGUUGAGGGAGAUGGCACCAGCAGCAGCACGACGGCGUGGUGUUGAUGGAGCUGCAGUACUCCGGCAGAGCUUCGCUAAGCACUAUGGAGUUGGAGGAGGUGUUGGGGAGGGAGAAGGAGGCAACCAAAGGCCAGGGCUCAAGGUAUGAAGUCCCUCCUCUCCCCCCACUAUAUAUAGGGGUGCCAAGGGGGGGUGGCCGGCCCUAGUAGAUGAGAUCUACUAGGGGGGCGGCGGCCUAGGGAGGUUUCCCUCCCCCCCAAGGCACCUAGGGGUGCCUUCCACCACUAGGACUCCUCCUAGGGGGAAACCCUAGGCGCAUGGGCCUAUAGGGGCUGGUGCCCUUGGCCCAUGAUGGCCAAGGCGCACCCCCUACAGCCCAUGUGGCCCCCCGGGACAGGUGGCCCCACCCGGUGGACCCCCGGGACCCCUCCGGUGGUCCCGGUACAAUACCGAUAACCCCGAAACUUGUCCCGGUGCCCGAAAUAGCACUUCCUAUAUAUAAAUCUUUACCUCCGGACCAUUCCGGAACUCCUCGUGACGUCCGGGAUCUCAUCCGGGACUCCGAACAACAUUCGGGUUACUGCAUAUACAUAUCCCUACAACCCUAGCGUGACUGAACCUUAAGUGUGUAGACCCUACGGGUUCGGGAGACAUGUAGACAUGACCGAGACUCUCUUAGUCAAUAACCAUCAGCGGGAUCUGGAUACCCAUGAUGGCUCCCACAUGCUCCUCGAUGUUGUCAUUGGAUGAACCACUAUGUCGAGGAUUCGAUCAAAAACCCUGUAUGCAAUUCCCUUUGUCAAUCGGUACGUUACUUGCCCGAGACUCGAUCGUCGGUAUCCCAAUACCUUGUUCAGUCUCGUUACCGGCAAGUCACUUUACUCGUACCGUAAUGCAUGAUCCCGUGUCCAACACCUUGGUCACAUUGAGCUCAUUAUGAUGAUGCAUUACCGAGUGGGCCCAGAGAUACCUCUCCGUCAUACGGAGUGACAAAUCCCAGUCUCGAUCCGUGUCAACCCAACAGCUACUUUCGGAGAUACCUGUAAUGUACCUUUAUAGUCACCCAGUUACGUUGUGACGUUUGGUACACCCAAGGCAUUCUUACGGUAUCCGGGAGUUACACGAUCUCAUGGUCGAAGGAAGAGAUACUUGACACUUGCAAAGCUCUAGCAAAAACGAACUACUCGAUCUUUUAUGCUAUGCUUAGGAUUGGGUCUUGUCCAUCACAUCAUUCUCCUAAUGAUGUGAUCCCGUCAUCAACGACAUCCAAUGUCCAUAGUCAGGAAACCAUGACUAUCUGUUGAUCACAACGAGCUGGUCAACUAGAGGCUUACCAGGGACUUAGUGUGGUCUAAGUAUUCACACGUGUAUUACGAUUUCCGGAUAAUACAGUUAUAGCAUGAAUACAAGACAAUUAUCAUGAACAAUGAAAUAUAAUAAUACUUUUAUUAUUGCCUCUAGGGCAUAUUUCCAACAGUCUCCCACUUGCACUAGAGUCACUAAUCUAGUUACAUUGUGAUGAAUCGAACACCCAUAGAGUUCUGGUGUUGAUCAUGUUUUGCACGCGAGAGAGGUUUAGUCAGCGGAUCUGCGACAUUCAGAUCCGUGUGUACUUUGAAAAUCUCUAUGUCUCCAUCUUGAACAUUUUCACGGAUGGAGUUGAAACGACGCUUGAUGUGCCUGGUCUUCUUGUGAAACCUGGGCUCCUUUGCGAGGGCAAUAGCUCCAGUGUUGUCACAGAAGAGUUUGAUCGGCCCCGACGCAUUGGGUAUGACUCCUAGGUCGGUGAUGAACUCCUUCACCCAAAUCGCUUCAUGUGCUGCCUCCGAGGCUGCCAUGUACUCCGCUUCACACGUAGAUCCCGCCACGACGCUCUGCUUGCAGCUGCACCAGCUUACUGCUCCACCAUUCAACAUAUACACGUAUCCGGUUUGUGACUUAGAGUCAUCCGGAUCUGAGUCGAAGCUAGCGUCGACGUAACCCUUUACGACGAGCUCUUCGUCUCCUCCAUAAACGAGAAACAUGUCCUUUGUCCUUUUCAGGUACUUCAGGAUAUUCUUGACCGCUGUCCAGUGUUCCUUGCCGGGAUUACUUUGGUAUCUUGCUACCAAACUUACGGCGAGGUUUACAUCGGGUCUGGUACAUAGCAUGGCAUACAUAAUAGAUCCUAUGGCUGAAGCAUAGGGGAUGACACUCAUCUCUUCUUUAUCUUUUGCCGUGGUCGGUGACUGAGCUGAGCUCAGUCUCAUACCUUGUAACAUAGGCAAGAACCCCUUCUUGGACUGAUCCAUUCUGAAUCUCUUCAAAAUCUUAUCAAGGUAUGUACUUUGUGAAAGACCUAUGAGGCGUCUCGAUCUAUCUCUAUAGAUCUUGAUGCCUAAUAUAUAAGCAGCUUCUCCAAGGUCCUUCAUUGAAAAACACUUAUUCAAGUAGGCCUUAAUGCUGUCCAGAAAUUCUAUAUUAUUUCCCAUCAGGAGUAUGUCAUCUACAUAUAAUAUGAGAAAUGCUACAGAGCUCCCACUCACUUUCUUGUAAACGCAGGCUUCUCCAUAAGUCUGCAUAAACCCAAACGCUUUGAUAAUCUCAUCAAAGCGAAUGUUCCAACUCCGAGAUGCUUGCACCAGUCCAUAAAUGGAUCGCUGGAGCUUGCAUACUUUGCUAGCGUUCUGAGGAUCGACAAAACCUUCCGGCUGCAUCAUAUACAGUUCUUCCUUAAGAUGCCCGUUAAGGAAUGCUGUUUUGACGUCCAUCUGCCAUAUCUCAUAAUCAUAGUAUGCGGCAAUUGCUAACAUGAUUCGGACGGACUUUAGCUUCGCUACGGGAGAGAAUGUCUCGUCGUAGUCAAUCCCUUGAACCUGUCGAUAACCCUUAGCGACAAGUCGAGCUUUAUAGAUGGUAACAUUACCAUCCGCGUCCGUCUUCUUCUUAAAGAUCCAUUUGUUUUCUAUCGCUCGCCGAUCAUCGGGCAAGUCUGUCAAAGUCCAUACUUUGUUUUCAUACAUGGAUUCUAUCUCGGAUUUCAUGGCUUCAAGCCAUUUGUUGGAAUCCGGGCCCGUCAUUGCUUCUUCAUAGUUCGAAGGUUCAUUGUUGUCUAACAACAUGAUUUCCAGGACAGGGUUGCCUUACCACUCUGGUGCGGAACGUGUUCUUGUGGACCUACGAAGUUCAGCAGUAACUUGAUCCGAAGUACCUUGAUCAUUAUCAUGGUUUUCCUCUUCAGUUGGUGUGGGCAUCACAGGAAUGGUUUCCUGUGCUGCGUCACUAUCCCGCUCAAGAGGUAGUACUUCAUCGAGUUCUACUUUCCUCCCACUUACUUCUUUCGAGAGAAACUCUUUUUCCAGAAAGCAUCCGUUCUUGGCAACAAAGAUCUUGCCUUCGGAUCUUAAGUAGAAGGUAUACCCUAUAGUUUCCUUAGGGUAUCCUAUGAAUACGCAUUUUUCCGACUUGGGUUCGAGCUUUUCAGGUUGAAGUUUCUUGACAUAAGCUUCGCAUCCCCAAACUUUUAGAAACGACAGCUUAGGUUUCUUUCCAAACCAUAAUUCAUACGGUGUCGUCUCAACGGAUUUAGACGAUGCCCUAUUUAAAGUGAAUGUAGCUGUCUCUAGAGCGUAUCCCCAAAAUGAUAGCGGUAAAUCGGUAAGAGAUAUCAUAGACCGCACCAUAUCCAAUAGAGUGCGAUUACGACGUUCGGACACACCGUUUCGCUGAGGUGUUCCAGGCGGCGUGAGCUGUGAAACGAUUCCACAUUUCUUUAAGUGUGUACCAAAUUCGUGACUUAGGUAUUCUCCUCCACGAUCUGAUCGUAAGAAUUUUAUCUUUCGGUCACGUUGAUUCUCCACCUCAUUCUGAAAUUCCUUGAACUUUUCAAAGGUCUCAGACUUGUGUUUCAUUAAGUAGACAUACCCAUAUCUACUCAAGUCGUCUGUGAGAGUGAGAACAUAACGAUAUCCUCCGCGAGCCUCAACGCUCAUUGGACCGCACACAUCGGUAUGUAUGAUUUCCAACAAGUUGGUUGCUCGCUCCAUUGUUCCGGAGAACGGAGUCUUGGUCAUUUUACCUAAGAGGCAUGGUUCGCACGUGUCAAACGAUUCAUAAUCAAGAGACUCUAAAAGUCCAUCAGCAUGGAGCUUCUUCAUGCGCUUGACACCAAUGUGACCAAGGCGGCAGUGCCACAAGUAUGUGGGACUAUCGUUAUCAACUUUAAAUCUUUUGGCAUCUACACUAUGAACAUGUGUAAUAUUACGCUCGAGAUUCAUUAAGAAUAAACCAUUGACCAUCGGAGCAUGACCAUAAAACAUAUCUCUCAUAUAAAUCGAACAACCAUUAUUCUCAGACUUAAAUGAGUAGCCAUCUCAUAUUAAACGAGAUCCAGAUACAAUGUUCAUGCUCAAACUUGGCACUAAAUAAUAAUUAUUGAGGUUCAAAACUAAUCCCGUAGGUAAAUGUAGAGGCAGCGUGCCGACGGCGAUCACAUCGACUUUGGAACCAUUCCCGACGCGCAUCGUCACCUCGUCCUUUGCCAGUCUCCGUUUAUUCCGCAGCUCCUGAUGUGAGUUACAUAUAUGAGCAACGGCACCGGUAUCAAAUACCCAGGAGUUACUACGAUUACUGGUAAGGUACACAUCAAUCACAUGUAUAUCAAAUAUACCUUUGGUGUUGCCGGCCUUCUUAUCCGCUAAGUAUUUGGGGCAGUUCCGCUUCCAGUGACCCUUCCCCUUGCAAUAAAAGCACUCAGUCUCAGGCUUGGGUCCUUUCUUUGACUUCUUCCCGGUAACUGGCUUACCAGGCGCGGCAAUAUCUUUGCCGUCUUUCUUGAAGUUCUUUUUACCCUUGCCCUUCUUGAACUUAGUGGUCUUAUUGACCAUCAACACUUGAUGUUCUUUCUUGAUUUCAGCCUCUGCUGACUUCAGCAUCGAGAACAAUUCAGGAAUGGUCUUUUCCAUUCCUUGCAUGUUGUAGUUCAUCACAAAGCUCUUGUAGCUUGGUGGGAGCGACUGGAGGAUUCUGUCAAUGACCGCCUCAUCUGGGAGGUUAAUGUUCAGCUGGGUCAUACGGUUGUGCAACCCAGACAUCUUCAGGAUGUGCUCACUGACAGAACUGUUCUCCUCCAUCUUACAACUGUAGAACUUGUCGGAGACAUCAUAUCUCUCGACCCGGGCAUGAGCUUGAAAAACUAGUUUCAGCUCUUCGAACAUCUCAUAUGCUCCGUGAUGCUCAAAACGCUUUUGGAGCCCCGGUUCUAAGCUGUAAAGCAUGCCGCACUGAACGAGGGAGUAAUCAUCAGCGCGAGUUUGCCAAGCAUUCAUAAUGUCUUGGUUCUCUGGGACGGGAGCGUCACCUAGUGGUCCUUCUAGGACAUAUUGUUUCCUGGCAGCUAUGAGGAUGAUCCUCAGGUUCCGGACCCAGUCCGUAUAGUUGCUGCCAUCAUCUUUCAGCUUGGUUUUCUCUAGGAACGCGUUGAAGUUCAUGUUGACAUUAGCGUUGGCCAUUGAUCUACAAGACAUAUUUGCAAAGGUUUUAGACUAUGUUCAUGAUAAUAAAGUUCUUAAUCAAAUUAUGAACUCCCACUUAGAUUAUACAUCCCUUUAGUCAUCUAAGUGUUACACGAUCCGAGUCGAGUAGCCCGUGUCCGAUCAUCACGUGAGACGGACUAGUCAUCGUCGGUGAACAUUUUCAUGUUGAUCGUAUCUUCCAUACGACUCGUGUUCGACCUUUCGGUCUCCGUGUUCCGAGGCCAUGUCUGCACAUGCUAGGCUCGUCAAGUUAACCCUAAGUGUUUUCGCUGUGUAAAACUGUCUUACACCCGUUGUAUGUGAACGUAAGAAUCCAUCACACCCGAUCAUCACGUGGUGCUUAGAAACGACGAACUGUAGCAACGGUGCACAGUUAGGGGAGAACACUUCUUGAAAUUUUAUAAGGGAUCAUCUUAUUUACUACCGUCGUCCUAAGUAAACAAGAUGCAUAAUACAUAAUAAACAUCACAUGCAAUUAUAUAGUUGUGACAUGAUAUGGCCAAUAUCAUAUAGCUCCAUUGAUCUUCAUCUUCGGGGCUCCAUGAUCAUCUUGUCACCGGCUUGACACCAUGAUCUCCAUCAUCAUGUCUUCAUGAAGUUGUCACGCCAUCGACUACUUCUACUUCUAUGACUAACGUUUAGCAAUAAAGUAAAGUAGUUUACAUGACGUUAUUCAAUGACACGCAGGUCAUACAAAAAAUAAUGACAACUCCUAUGGCUCCUGUCGGUUGUCAUACUCAUCGACAUGCAAGUCGUGAAUCCUAUUACAAAGAAUAUGAUCUCAUACAUCACAAUUCAUCAUUCAUCACAACUUCUGGCCAUAUCACAUCACAUGAUCAAUCGCUGCAAAAACAAGUUAGACGUCCUCUAAUUGUUGUUGCAUCUUUUACGUGGCUGCAAUUGGGUUCUAGCAAGAACGUUUUCUUACCUACGAAUCACCACAACGUGAUUUUGUCAACUUCUAUUUACCCUUCAUAAGGGCCCUGUUCAUCGAUUCCGCUCCAACUAAGAUGGGAGAGACAGACACCCGCCAGCCACCUUAUGCAACUUGUGCAUGUCAGUCGGUGGAACCGGUCUCACGUAAGAGUACGUGUAAGGUUGGUCCGGGCCGCUUCAUCCCACAAUACCGUUGAGCAAGAAAAAGACUAGUAGAGGCAAGUAAGAUGACAAAAUCCACGCCCACAACAAAGUUGUGUUCUACUCGUGCAAAGAGAACUACGUAUAGACCUAGCUCAUGAUGCCACUGUUGGGGAACGUUGCAGAAAAUUAAAAUUUUUCCUACGGUUUCACCAAGAUCCAUCUAUGAGUUCAUCUAAGCAACGAGUCUAGAGAGAGAGAGUUUGCAUCUACAUACCACUUGUAGAUCGCGUGCGGAAGCUUGCAAGGUGAUGAUGUAGUCGUACUCGACGUGAUUCAAAUCACCGAUGACCUUAGCACCAAACGGACGGCACCUCCGCGUUCAACACACGUACGGAACAGCCACGUCUCCUCCUUCUUGAUCCAGCAAGGGAGGGAGGAGAGGUUGAGGGAUAUGGCACCAGCAGCAGCACGACGGCGUGGUGUUGAUGGAGCUGCAGUACUCCGGCAGAGCUUCGCUAAGCACUAUGGAGUUGGAGGAGGUGUUGGGGAGGGAGAAGGAGGCAACCAAAGGCCAGGGCUCAAGGUAUGAAGUCCCUCCUCUCCCCCCACUAUAUAUAGGGGUGCCAAGGGGGGGUGGCCGGCCCUAGUAGAUGAGAUCUACUAGGGGGGGGCGGCGGCCUAGGGAGGUUUCCCUCCCCCCAAGGCACCUAGGGGUGCCUUCCACCACUAGGACUCCUCCUAGGGGAAACCCUAGGCGCAUGGGCCUAUAGGGGCUGGUGCCCUUGGCCCAUGAUGGCCAAGGCGCACCCCCUACAGCCCAUGUGGCCCCCCGGGACAGGUGGCCCCACCCGGUGGACCCCCGGGACCCCUCCGGUGGUCCCGGUACAAUACCGAUAACCCCGAAACUUGUCCCGGUGCCCGAAAUAGCACUUCCUAUAUAUAAAUCUUUACCUCCGGACCAUUCCGGAACUCCUCGUGACGUCCGGGAUCUCAUCCGGGACUCCGAACAACAUUCGGGUUACUGCAUAUACAUAUCCCUACAACCCUAGCGUGACUGAACCUUAAGUGUGUAGACCCUACGGGUUCGGGAGACAUGUAGACAUGACCGAGACUCUCUUAGUCAAUAACCAUCAGCGGGAUCUGGAUACCCAUGAUGGCUCCCACAUGCUCCUCGAUGUUGUCAUCGGAUGAACCACUAUGUCGAGGAUUCGAUCAAAAACCCUGUAUGCAAUUCCCUUUGUCAAUCGGUACGUUACUUGCCCGAGACUCGAUCGUCGGUAUCCCAAUACCUUGUUCAGUCUCGUUACCGGCAAGUCACUUUACUCGUACCGUAAUGCAUGAUCCCAUGUCCAACACCUUGGUCACAUUGAGCUCAUUAUGAUGAUGCAUUACCGAGUGGGCCCAGAGAUACCUCUCCGUCAUACGGAGUGACAAAUCCCAGUCUCGAUCCGUGUCAACCCAACAGCUACUUUCGGAGAUACCUGUAAUGUACCUUUAUAGUCACCCAGUUACGUUGUGACGUUUGGUACACCCAAGGCAUUCUUACGGUAUCCGGGAGUUACACGAUCUCAUGGUCGAAGGAAGAGAUACUUGACACUUGCAAAGCUCUAGCAAAAAUGAACUACUCGAUCUUUUAUGCUAUGCUUAGGAUUGGGUCUUGUCCAUCACAUCAUUCUCCUAAUGAUGUGAUCCCGUCAUCAACGACAUCCAAUGUCCAUAGUCAGGAAACCAUGACUAUCUGUUGAUCACAACGAGCUGGUCAACUAGAGGCUUACCAGGGACUUAGUGUGGUCUAAGUAUUCACACGUGUAUUACGAUUUCCGGAUAAUACAGUUAUAGCAUGAAUACAAGACAAUUAUCAUGAACAAUGAAAUAUAAUAAUACUUUUAUUAUUGCCUCUAGGGCAUAUUUCCAACAUAAAGAGCAUGUGAUAUAUGAAUCACCAUUUUACAAUAGCUAUGAAGGAAACCAACAAUGGUCGGCAUCGAGUAGUCACCCAGGUGCUUGCUGGAAAGCAUCAUUGAUGGUAGCUACACUAAGUUCUAUCUUUAGAACUACCUUGUUUGAGGCAUUACUCUUUUCUAAUGGCCUUGGCACCAAACAACAACCAACAAAGAGGUGACAUGUAAACAAUAGGAAGAAAAUGAACGCAAUAGUAAGAAGUUUUGGCAAGAUAGAAGUCUCGAUAUAUGUUAUUUGGACAGAUAGACAUAUGUAAUAGUUUUUGAUUUUCUCUUUUGGCUCUCUUAAAGAGCUUGUGCAUUCAUAUACCGCUAAGCCUAAUUGAAUUAAUAUGCGAAGCAAGCACAAAACGAUCCUAUUUUAACAUUGUUUUAACCAUCAAAUCGGAACAUGAACGAUUGUUUUAAUCAUCCCUAUUUUAUAUUCUUCUACUGUUCAAAUGCAGACCAUCUUGCUUCAUCGAGAAAAAUUUGAACAAGCAACAAAGUUUUGCUUCAUGAUUUACCUGAAACAGAAGGCAUCUGACGCUUAAGGAAGGAUCUACUUCAGGUAGCCAAGGCUCAUGUUCUCCAUCUCUCCCCAAAUUACAGCACAAUCCUUUAACAAGCAACAGAAGGCAUGAGAAGAACAAUCCUUGAUUUUUUUUAACUAAAUCCUUGGAAAGUUGAAAUCGGAAGUAAAGAACAUAAGAAUAGAGAAAAACAGAAAAAAGAGAACAUUCAAGAAUCAGUAGUAAAAUAAAAUAGGUCAUUGAGAUUUGAGAACACCUCAACUUUACACCAUUGAGAAGAGUACAGAGAUCUUCUUGUCUAGGAAGCCCGUCCUCCUGCACCAUCACAUGCUUGCCAGAUAAAACAAAUUAAUCCAGCCAGUUUUUCUUGAACGAGAAAAUGUAUGCCACUUAAACUUGUGCAGAGGUAAAUCGCUGCCCACCAAAAUUGAAACAAAUUAAGUAAGGGGCCUGAAGUGCCCAGACGCUAAGGAGAACAUCAGCCAACACCAAACUUCUGGCUUCAUGGUAAAGGACUCCCAGUUCAAUAGCAUCACAAUCCCUUCCCUUAAGUGCAUGGAUCAUAGUCUGACAGUCUGACUCAAAAAACAUACUAUACAACAAAGCAACAGCAGGAGGCCAUCAGCGACAAGCUGGCAAGCACUCAGCAUCAAGCA